UUAAGCGACUAAGCGUACACGGUGGAUGCCCUGGCAGUCAGAGGCGAUGAAGGACGUGCUAAUCUGCGAUAAGCGUCGGUAAGGUGAUAUGAACCGUUAUAACCGGCGAUUUCCGAAUGGGGAAACCCAGUGUGAUUCGUCACACUAUCAUUAACUGAAUCCAUAGGUUAAUGAGGCGAACCGGGGGAACUGAAACAUCUAAGUACCCCGAGGAAAAGAAAUCAACCGAGAUUCCCCCAGUAGCGGCGAGCGAACGGGGAGCAGCCCAGAGCCUGAAUCAGUGUGUGUGUUAGUGGAAGCGUCUGGAAAGGCGCGCGAUACAGGGUGACAGCCCCGUACACAAAAAUGCACAUGCUGUGAGCUCGAUGAGUAGGGCGGGACACGUGGUAUCCUGUCUGAAUAUGGGGGGACCAUCCUCCAAGGCUAAAUACUCCUGACUGACCGAUAGUGAACCAGUACCGUGAGGGAAAGGCGAAAAGAACCCCGGCGAGGGGAGUGAAAAAGAACCUGAAACCGUGUACGUACAAGCAGUGGGAGCACGCUUAGGCGUGUGACUGCGUACCUUUUGUAUAAUGGGUCAGCGACUUAUAUUCUGUAGCAAGGUUAACCGAAUAGGGGAGCCGAAGGGAAACCGAGUCUUAACUGGGCGUUAAGUUGCAGGGUAUAGACCCGAAACCCGGUGAUCUAGCCAUGGGCAGGUUGAAGGUUGGGUAACACUAACUGGAGGACCGAACCGACUAAUGUUGAAAAAUUAGCGGAUGACUUGUGGCUGGGGGUGAAAGGCCAAUCAAACCGGGAGAUAGCUGGUUCUCCCCGAAAGCUAUUUAGGUAGCGCCUCGUGAAUUCAUCUCCGGGGGUAGAGCACUGUUUCGGCAAGGGGGUCAUCCCGACUUACCAACCCGAUGCAAACUACGAAUACCGGAGAAUGUUAUCACGGGAGACACACGGCGGGUGCUAACGUCCGUCGUGAAGAGGGAAACAACCCAGACCGCCAGCUAAGGUCCCAAAGUCAUGGUUAAGUGGGAAACGAUGUGGGAAGGCCCAGACAGCCAGGAUGUUGGCUUAGAAGCAGCCAUCAUUUAAAGAAAGCGUAAUAGCUCACUGGUCGAGUCGGCCUGCGCGGAAGAUGUAACGGGGCUAAACCAUGCACCGAAGCUGCGGCAGCGACGCUUAUGCGUUGUUGGGUAGGGGAGCGUUCUGUAAGCCUGCGAAGGUGUGCUGUGAGGCAUGCUGGAGGUAUCAGAAGUGCGAAUGCUGACAUAAGUAACGAUAAAGCGGGUGAAAAGCCCGCUCGCCGGAAGACCAAGGGUUCCUGUCCAACGUUAAUCGGGGCAGGGUGAGUCGACCCCUAAGGCGAGGCCGAAAGGCGUAGUCGAUGGGAAACAGGUUAAUAUUCCUGUACUUGGUGUUACUGCGAAGGGGGGACGGAGAAGGCUAUGUUGGCCGGGCGACGGUUGUCCCGGUUUAAGCGUGUAGGCUGGUUUUCCAGGCAAAUCCGGAAAAUCAAGGCUGAGGCGUGAUGACGAGGCACUACGGUGCUGAAGNAACAAAUGCCCUGCUUCCAGGAAAAGCCUCUAAGCAUCAGGUAACAUCAAAUCGUACCCCAAACCGACACAGGUGGUCAGGUAGAGAAUACCAAGGCGCUUGAGAGAACUCGGGUGAAGGAACUAGGCAAAAUGGUGCCGUAACUUCGGGAGAAGGCACGCUGAUAUGUAGGUGAAGUCCCUCGCGGAUGGAGCUGAAAUCAGUCGAAGAUACCAGCUGGCUGCAACUGUUUAUUAAAAACACAGCACUGUGCAAACACGAAAGUGGACGUAUACGGUGUGACGCCUGCCCGGUGCCGGAAGGUUAAUUGAUGGGGUUAGCGCAAGCGAAGCUCUUGAUCGAAGCCCCGGUAAACGGCGGCCGUAACUAUAACGGUCCUAAGGUAGCGAAAUUCCUUGUCGGGUAAGUUCCGACCUGCACGAAUGGCGUAAUGAUGGCCAGGCUGUCUCCACCCGAGACUCAGUGAAAUUGAACUCGCUGUGAAGAUGCAGUGUACCCGCGGCAAGACGGAAAGACCCCGUGAACCUUUACUAUAGCUUGACACUGAACAUUGAGCCUUGAUGUGUAGGAUAGGUGGGAGGCUUUGAAGUGUGGACGCCAGUCUGCAUGGAGCCGACCUUGAAAUACCACCCUUUAAUGUUUGAUGUUCUAACGUUGACCCGUGAUCCGGGUUGCGGACAGUGUCUGGUGGGUAGUUUGACUGGGGCGGUCUCCUCCUAAAGAGUAACGGAGGAGCACGAAGGUUGGCUAAUCCUGGUCGGACAUCAGGAGGUUAGUGCAAUGGCAUAAGCCAGCUUGACUGCGAGCGUGACGGCGCGAGCAGGUGCGAAAGCAGGUCAUAGUGAUCCGGUGGUUCUGAAUGGAAGGGCCAUCGCUCAACGGAUAAAAGGUACUCCGGGGAUAACAGGCUGAUACCGCCCAAGAGUUCAUAUCGACGGCGGUGUUUGGCACCUCGAUGUCGGCUCAUCACAUCCUGGGGCUGAAGUAGGUCCCAAGGGUAUGGCUGUUCGCCAUUUAAAGUGGUACGCGAGCUGGGUUUAGAACGUCGUGAGACAGUUCGGUCCCUAUCUGCCGUGGGCGCUGGAGAACUGAGGGGGGCUGCUCCUAGUACGAGAGGACCGGAGUGGACGCAUCACUGGUGUUCGGGUUGUCAUGCCAAUGGCACUGCCCGGUAGCUAAAUGCGGAAGAGAUAAGUGCUGAAAGCAUCUAAGCACGAAACUUGCCCCGAGAUGAGUUCUCCCUGACUCCUUGAGAGUCCUGAAGGAACGUUGAAGACGACGACGUUGAUAGGCCGGGUGUGUAAGCGCAGCGAUGCGUUGAGCUAACCGGUACUAAUGAACCGUGAGGCUUAACCUU
rnacentral:rRNA from 1 species